UGGUUGUCGAUGCUAACGUGAAGGACGAGUGGCGUCGUGCUUGAUCGAUCCAGCUUUUCUAUAAAAUUAACGUGUUUCUGAUGUUGUGCACAUUGAGUUCUUUUCAAAGCUGACGUGCCAGAUAAAUCCAGCUUUUCUAUAAAAUCACUGGUGAGUGACAUUACCAAACAUCGUAAAACAACGGCUCUUGAGGGAUUGCUACUUUUCCUGCUUGAGAAGUCAGCAAAUUUGCUCAAGAUAUGCCUGGAUACGAAUUCUGUGAACUGCUGCACCAAAGGUGUAAAGAUUGGAAUUCUGACUGUGGAGGAAGAUGAUGUUGCCGGUGUUACAUCGCAGCCCACUGUUAUCAACAUGGCCAUAAUCUUGGAGGAGGCCAUUGUGCUUGAGGACAUUAAAGAUCUUCCAUCUGCAUUUGCAUAUUUGUUUGGCCUCUUAUAUGCAUUUAACAUGGAAUAUCUGAAAGAAUUGAAGUACACUUUUGAAGUCAUCAUGGAUCUAGGUGGUACCUGCUCAGCUAGAGUGCAGUCAUUGAAAUCCAAACUUUGCUAAAUGGAUGAAGCCACUUAAAUGACGUUCUUGCGUUGGCUUUUUU